UACGUAGGGGGCAAGCGUUGUCCGGAAUCAUUGGGCGUAAAGAGCGUGUAGGCGGCUUGGCAAGUCUCGCGUGAAAUCCUGCGGCUCAACCGCAGGCGGUCGCGGGAAACUGCCUCGCUAGAGUCCGGAAGAGGAGAGUGGAAUUCCGUGGUGUAGCGGUGGAAUGCGCAGAUAUCAGGAAGAACACCCGUGGCGAAGGCGGCUCUCUGGGACGGUACUGACGCUGAGACGCGAAAGCGUGGGGAGCGAACAGG
rnacentral:rRNA from 1 species